UGGGGAAUAUUGCACAAUGGGGGAAACCCUGAUGCAGCGACGCCGCGUGAACGAAGAAGGUAUUCGUAUCGUAAAGUUCUGUCCUAUGGGAAGAUAAUGACAGUACCAUCGAAGAAAGCUCCGGCUAAAUACGUGCCAGCAGCCGCGGUAAUACGUAUGGAGCGAGCGUUGUCCGGAUUUAUUGGGCGUAAAGGGUACGCAGGCGGUUUAAUAAGUCGAAUGUUAAAGAUCGGGGCUCAACCCCGUAAAGCAUUGGAAACUGAUAAACUUGAGUAGGGGAGAGGAAAGUGGAAUUCCUAGUGUAGUGGUGAAAUACGUAGAUAUUAGGAGAAAUACCAGUAGCGAAGGCGACUUUCUGGACACAAACUGACGCCGAGGUACGAAAGCGUGGGGAGCAAACAGG
rnacentral:rRNA from 1 species